CUUGUCCGGAAAUAUUCGAAACCUCAUUAGGAGUUUAGCUCUCAUUAGAUUAGGAUGUUAUUCGCAAAGUGUUUUUUAAAUAUUUUUUUGGAUUGAAAAUAUCAUGAGUGUUUUUCUAAAAUAUAGUGAUUUUGACAAUAAUUUAGCUAGGAAUUUUAAAACCAUUUUUUAAAUUGUAAUUAUAUUAGCUAGGAAAGUAUCAAACUAAUUAGGUAGAUUGGGUUAAAAAAAAUUAUUUGAAGUAUUCUUUCGAGUAAUUUGAAGACAUUAAGAAGAGGAAAUACAAAAUGAAAAAGAGAGUGUCAUAACAGAGCAUAAACUUCUGAGGGAGGCAGCACGGAGUACACGAAACGACAAAAAACGGAUGAAUCUUCACAACAUACACCCAGCAUCUUUGAUUCUAUUGCUAAAAGAAAAAAGAUACACAAAAAGUGCAUGGAAUAUUCAAGAAUUCUCCAAAGAGCAACACAGUUUCAAACAGGAAUUUCCUUUCAAUUUCCGGUCAUCUCUGAUGCACUGAACACGCAUCGCACUGCAGUCUUGAGAGGGAACAUAAAGGAAAGAGUAUUCAACAGGACACUGAAGUUGUACUUUGAAUCUUCGUUCUUAACAUUAUAAAGGAAGAGGAAACAAAAGAUGAAAAGGGUUUCGGCGUCAACUUUAGCAACAUUCUUCGUUCUGAAAAGGAGGGGAAUCACCUGAAAUGCAGAGGGAUGGUUCAAGUCUGAUGCUACCUUUGGAUCGACAACAGUUAUGCUGCGUUAAUUUAAAUAAAAGUUUUUUUUAUAAAAUCAAAUGUUUUUUUAUUUUUAAGAAUUGUACCAACAAAAAAAACCUUUGUAUGUAUAAAUUUUGCAAAUUUUUUUCUUUGUUUUAAAAAAUAGUAAAUCAUAAAUAAAUAUACUUUAUUCAAGAAAGGCGUAUUAUGGUUACUAUAGGCUACCUGUGCCGGUGCUUGUUAAGUUCUCCCAUAAUCCACUGGUCAAUACCAUUAUUACCCUAAAGUCAUAAUGGGUACUUUAUUGACCUGCGAGCGGUCAAUAAAGGUACAGGUAGAUAAAGUAUCCAUAAUACGCCUAAGUUGCAUAAACGUUAUUUUUACGUUUUCUAAAUUUCUUUUGAAUAAAAACUUAAUAAGUAAAUAAAUUGUUUUUAACAUUAAACAAACAAAAAUUAUAGAAUAUUAGAAAAACUAAUUCAUUGAAGUAAAGAAA